rnacentral:rRNA from 1 species
GCAAGUCGAACGCUGAUUUAUCAGCGUGGCAAACGGGUGCGUAACACGUGCUUUACCUGCCCUGGAGUGGGGGAUAACAUCGGAAACGGUGAUAAUCCGCCAUAAUCCCUACGGGGAAAAGAUUUAUCGCUCUAGGAGGGGGGUGCGGCCUAUUAGUUAGUUGGUGAGGUAAUAGCUCACCAAGACUUUGAUGGGUAGCUGGUCUGAGAGGAUGAUC